UCAGUCAGUCAGUCAGUCAGUCAGUCAGUCAGUCAGAGAGAGAGAGAGAGCUCUUCCCACUGAUGGGGUAGUCGUGUAACAGGUCCUUAUUGCUUUCUGACUUUCAGAACGUUAAAGUCAGAUCAAACAUUUCUGUCCCAAAGGCAUGUUUUCAUCUUCAUAAAGGAGACUAUCUGGACUAUUGUCAACAAACUCAGAACUAUUAAUUACUGUUUGUUGAAACGACAACAAGAAAGCAAAGCUGUCAAACAUUGACAGAUCUCACAAUUCUAGCUUUAAUUAAUAACAUAAAUAUUGUGUGUGUGUUUCUAACUGAACAAACUGUGUUGGCAGAAAUUGAAUAAUAUAAAUUCAAAAGGAGAGAAAAAGCUAAUUUCCUGCUCUCUGCAGGUGACCUGGACUGGGGAGAGAUGUACAAUGCUCUCUGCAGGUGACCUGGACUGGGGAGAGAUGUACAAUGCUCUCUGCAGGUGACCUGGACUGGGGAGAGAUGUACAAUGCUCUCUGCAGGUGACCUGGACUGGGGAGAGAUGUACAAUGCUCUCUGCAGGUGACCUGGACUGGGGAGAGAUGUACAAUGCUCUCUGCAGGUGACCUGGACUGGGGAGAGAUGUACAAUGCUCUCUGCAGGUGACCUGGACUGGGGAGAGAUGUACAAUGCUCUCUGCAGGUGACCUGGACUGGGGAGAGAUGUACAAUGCUCUCUGCAGGUGACCUGGACUGGGGAGAGAUGUACAAUGCUCUCUGCAGGUGACCUGGACUGGGGAGAGAUGUACAAUGCUCAAGUUGUUUCGUCUCCCUAAAGCGCCAUCAAAGAGAAACGCCCAUAAGAUCUCUCUAAUAAUGUCUUGUUUUGGUCCGUUAGGGUUCUGCCUUCCCUCCAUACAUCCAUGCUAGUGUUUCUACGUGGUUCCCCUUCAUACUUUCUAAGGUACCUUCACUAAACCCUGCCUGUGAAGGUGUAUUCAGAUCUACUGGCUUGGCCGAACCGUCCUCGAACAAAGCACUGGAUACUUAGUAGUAGACAGAAGAUUGUAUUUCUUUUCGAUGUUUCCUGUAUUACAGUGUCACAGCAGAGGUUUCAGUUCUUCUUAAAGUAUUUUUCGCUCAGAAAGAACAUAAAUUGUGACAAAAUGCCGAAAGAACAAAAAUAUAUACAGUAUCAGUUCAAAUUUUUGGACACACCUCCUCAUUCCAGGGUUUUUCUUCAUUUGGACUAUUUUCCAUAUUCCAUGUAGAAUAAUAGUGAAGACAUCAGAACUAUGAACUAACUCAUAUGGAAUCAUGUAGUAACCAAAAUAAAAGUGUUAAACAAAUCAAAAUAUAUUUGAAUCUUCAAAGUAGCCACCCUUUGCCUUGAUGACAGCUUUACACACUCUUGGCAUACUCUCAACUUUUCUCAAAUAUAGAAGGUGUUUUGGCAAUAGCGCCACUUUUUUAACCAUCUCUAUAAUAUACAGCGCCUUCGGAAAGUAUUCAGACCCCUUGACUUUUGUCACAUUUUGUUACGUUACAGCCUUAUUCAAAAAUGGAUAUAUAUAUAUUUUUAAAUGCAUCAAUCUGCACACAAUACCCAACAAAUGACAAAGCAAAAACAUUUUUUUGAAAUGUUUGCGAAUUUAUAAUGAAAUAAAAAAAACUGAAAUAUUACAUUUACAUAAGUAUUCAGACCCUUUACUUUGUUGAAGCACUUUUGGCAGCGUUUACAGCCUCAAGUCUUCUUGGGUAUUGACGCUACAAGCUUGACACACUUGUAUUUGAGGAGUUUCAUUCUUUCCUGCAGAUCCUCUCAAGCUCUGUCAGGUUGGAUGAGGAGCGUUGCUGCACAGCUAUUUUCAGGUCAAAUCCAACAAUGUUCGAUAAGGUUUAAGUCCGGGCUCUGCCAAGCAGAGCGGGCUGUCAUGUGCCUUUUACUGAGGAGUGGCUUCCAUCUGGCCACUCUACCGCAAAGGUCUGAAUGGUGGAGUGCUGCAGAUAUAUUUGUCCUUCUAGAAGGUUCUCCCAUCUCCACAGAGGAACUCUUGAGCUCUCUGAGUGACCAUCAGGUUCUUGGUCACCUCCCUGACCAAGGCCCAUCUCCCCUGAUUGCUCAGUUUGGCCAGGCGGCCAGCUCUAGGACGAGUCUUGGUGGUUCCAAACAUUUUCCAUUUAUGAAUGAUGGAAGCCACUGUGUUCUUGGGGACCUUCAAUGUUGCAGAAUUGUUUUGGUACCCUUCCCCAGAUCUGUGCCACGACACAAUCCUGUCUAUGGACAAUUCCUUUGACCUUAUGGCUUGUUUUUUGCUCUGACAUGCACUGUCAACUGUGGGACCUUAUAUAGACAGGUGUGUGCCUUUCCAAAUCAUGUCCAAUCAAUUAAAAUUUACCACAGGUGGACUCCAAUCAAGUUGUAGAAACAUCUCAAGGAUGAUCAAUGGAAACAGGAUGCAUCUGAGCUCAAUUUCGUGUCUCAUAGCAAAGGGUCUGAAUACAUAUGUAACUAAGGUAUUUCUGUUUUGAAUGUUUUAUAAAAUUGCAAAAAUGUUUAAAAACCUGUUUUCACUUUGUUGUUAUUGGGUAUUGUGAUGUCAUUAUGGGGUAUUGUGAUGUCACUAUGGGUUAUUGUGAUGUCACUAUGGGUUAUUGUGUUUAGAUUGAUGAGGAUGUUUUAUUUCAUCCAUUUUAGAACAAGGUAACGUAACAAAAUGUGGAAAAAGUCAAGAGGUCUGAAUACUUUCCGAAGGCGCUGUGUUGGACUGCAGAGUGAAGGAAAAUCAGCCUAAAAGUGGUCAGAAUAUGUGGGCACUCCUUCAAGACUUUUGGAAAACCAUUCCAGGUGACAACCUCAUGAAGCUGGUUGAGAGAAUGCCAAGAGUGAGCAAAGCUGUCAAUCAAGGCAAACGUUGGCUACCUUGAAGAAUCUCAAAUAUAAAAUAUAUUUAGAUUUGUUUAACACUGUUUUGGUUACUACAUGAUUCCAUAUGUGUUAUUUCAUAGUUUUGAUGUCUUCACUAUUAUUCUACAAUGUAGAAAAUAGUAAAAAUAAAGAAAAAACCCUUGAAUGAGUAGGUGUUUCCAAACGUUUGUCUGGUACUAUAUACACUACAGUUUUAAAAAGUUUGGGGUCACUUAGAAAUAUCCUUGUUUUUGAAAGAAAAGCACAUUUUUGUCCAUUAAAAUAACGUCAAAUUGAUCAGAAAUAUAGUGUAGACACUGUUAAUGUUGUAAAUGACUAUUGCAGUUGGAAACGGCAGAUUUUUUUAUGGAAUAUCUACAUAGGCGUACAGAGGACCAUUAUCAGCAACCAUCACUCCUGUGUUCCAAUGGCACGUUGUGUUAGCUAAUCCAAGUUCAUAAUAUUAAUAGUCUAAUUGAUCAUUAGAAAACACUUUUCAAUUAUGUUAGCACACCUGAAAAAUGUUGUUCUGAUUAAAGAAGCAAUAAAACUGGCCUUCUUUAGAAACGUUGAGUAUCUGGAGCAUCAGCAUUUGUGGGUUUGAUUACAGGCUCAAAAUGGCUAGAAACAAAGAACUUUCUUCUGAAACUCGUCAGUUUAUUCUUGUUCUGAGAAAUGAAGGCUAUUCAAUGCGAGAACUUGCCAAGAAACUGAAGAUCUCGUACAAUGCUGUGUACUACUCCCUUCAAAGAACAGCGCAAACUGGCUCUAACCACAAUAGAAAGAGGAGGGGGAGGCCCCGGUGCACAACUGAGCAAGAGGAAAAGUACAUUAGAGUGUCCAGUUUGAGAAACUGAUGCUUCACAAGUCCUCAACUGGCAGCUUCAUUAAAUAAUACCCGCAAACACCAGUCUCAACGUCAACAGUGAAGAGGCGACUUACGGAUGCUGGCCUUCUAGACAGCGUUGCAAAGAAAAAGCCAUAUCUCAGACUGGCCAAUAAAAAUAAAAUAUUAAGAUCGGCAAAAGAACACAGAUGACGGACAGAGGAAGAUUAGAAAAAAAUGUUAUGGACAGACACAUCUAAGUUUGAGGUGUUCGGAUCACAAAGAAGAACAUUUGUGAGACGCAGAAAAAAUAAAAAGAUGCUGAAGGAGUGCUUGACGCCAUCUUUCAAGCAUGGUGGAGAUAUUGUGGUUGUCUGGGGCUGCUUUGCUGGUGGUAAAGUGGGAGAUUUGUACAGGGUAAAGGGGAAUUUGAAGAAGGAAGGCUAUCUCUUAAUUUUGCAUCGUCAUUCAUACCCUUUUCACAGUAUUUAAUUGGAGCCAAUUUCAACAAUUUCAACAAUUUCCAACAAGACAAUGACACAAAGCACAGCUCCAAACUAUGCAAGAACUAUUUAGGGAAGAAGCAGUCAGCUGGUAUUCUGUCUAUAAUGGAGUGGCCAGCACAGUCACUGGACCUCAACCCUAUUGAGCUGUUG